CCGGCACGGGUGAGUAACACGUAUCCAACCUGCCGUCUACUCUUGGACAGCCUUCUGAAAGGAAGAUUAAUACAAGAUGGCAUCAUGAGUCCGCAUGUUCACAUGAUUAAAGGUAUUCCGGUAGACGAUGGGGACGCGUUCCAUUAGAUAGUAGGCGGGGUAACGGCCCACCUAGUCUUCGAUGGAUAGGGGUUCUGAGAGGAAGGUCCCCCACAUUGGAACUGAGACACGGUCCAA
rnacentral:rRNA from 1 species